rnacentral:rRNA from 1 species
GACGAACGCUGGCGGCGUGCUUAACACAUGCAAGUCGAACGCUGAAGCUUGGUGCUUGCACUGGGUGGAUGAGUGGCGAACGGGUGAGUAAUACGUGAGUAACCUGCCCUUGACUCUGGGAUAAGCCUGGGAAACUGGGUCUAAUACUGGAUAUGACAUGCCACUGCAUGGUGGUGUGUGGAAAGGGUUUUACUGGUUUCGGAUGGGCUCACGGCCUAUCAGCUUGUUGGUGGGGUAAUGGCCUACCAAGGCGACGACGGGUAGCCGGCCUGAGAGGGUGACCGGCCACACUGGGACUGAGACACGGCCCAGACUCCUACGGGAGGCAGCAGUGGGGAAUAUUGCACAAUGGGCGGAAGCCUGAUGCAGCGACGCCGCGUGAGGGAUGACGGCCUUCGGGUUGUAAACCUCUUUCAGCACGGAAGAAGCGAGAGUGACGGUACGUGCAGAAGAAGCGCCGGCUAACUACGUG